rnacentral:lncRNA from 1 species
CGCGGCCCCGCCGGGCGGGCGGCCCCGGCAGGCGCAGGAAGCCCCGCCGCCCGCCACCUCGCCCGCCCGCCGCCGAGCUGCCCCCGCCCCGCGCCGCCGCUCCGGCAGCGGCGGUGCGCAGGUAAUGGCAGGGCGGAGGAGGCGCGGGCGGGAAGCGGCAGAAAGUCCGGUUAACUCCUUUGCGUUCGGGGCCGGCUGCGGCUGGAGGCUGCCGGGGGUCGGAGAGAGGGCUGCGAGGCUCUGCACCGCCGUGUCCCGGGCUCAGCGCGCUGCCGGUGGAGCCGGGCUGCUCGUCUCAGGUGCACGGCCGGCUCCCAGGCGUCCCGGUCCUUCCGAGAGGAGCUGGGCAGGGAGCCCUCGAUGCCAGAAACCGACUGAUUUGCUGCUUGUAUAGAGAGAAAAGAAGCAUUCUUCUGCCCAAGGCACUUAUCUGGAACACGGGACCUUGCACGCCGGGGGCUUUAUUUCACCUCUGGGGUCUGUAUCGACCACCUCAGUGGCACAGGUGUUUCCUUCCUUUCUGCUGGGCUCCAGUCCAAAGGAACUUGUGCGGAAAGGAACUUGUGAGGUUCAGAGACACGAAUGUAAGAUGGGGUUCUCCUUACAUACAUCAUCUGCCACACAGCCACAAAUAAGGCUGACCUGCUCCUCCAGGCUGGAUUCGCCAGGUCCUAAAUGUCUCAGAGAAGAGGAGAAGAGACCAAAACCAGGUCUGGCCAUGAAGUAUUUGACAAAAUAGAGUUUCAUUUGAAAAAAAAAUAAAUAAAUAAGAAAAACAAAG